AAUAACAAUUCUCUUCUUUCCUUUCCAAAGCUUGAUUUUCUCCAAUAACAAGAUCAACGUCACAGAAUGAGUAAGCAUAAAGCAUACACUAUUUUAAUGUCCUUGGAGUUGGGUUCAAUUGGAAUAAAAUAUCAAGGUUUAAACACUACUACUAACAACCCAUUCGAACAAUCCAGCCCGAUUUGUUUCCUGUUUCUGACAUCUCUAUUUUGUCAUACAGUUGCAACAAUGGCUGACAUGAACUUCUCAACUACCAGAAUCAUAUUCCACAUAUCCGGUGUUGUUGGAUGUGAGACACUUUUGUGGAUUCUCCUCCCUGUUUUCUGGAAAUGGUAUGUCUUCAACAUGUUCCUUUUAGUGGUUACCUCAUUGUGCUUCUUAAACUUCAUCAUGAUUAUGGAUAAUAUCACUAAGCUCUUCCGUGGAACACUUCGAAACCCAGAUCUGGAACCACAGGAAACUCAGCCGUAAGACUUGAUUUGAUGAAGGCAAAUUAACGACCCGUAGUUCACCAAACAUCAAGCAAUAUUGUGCAACCUGUUUUUCUCGAUCUUAUGCUGGAAUGAUUUUUUUUUUUGCAGCCUCCUUGGAACCAAUGGGGAUAUCAGCACCAUGCUUGAGAAAGCUGUCCAAUAUGUAAACUUUUUAACAGCCUCAAAUUAAGGUAUAUACAGCGUCUCUCAACAUUGGGUUCGGAAUGAUGCACCAUGUAAAGGUUGCACCAAGUUUUGUGCUGCAUUUAUAAUCAGACCAUCAUUUUGGGAUGCUUGCAGUAGAUGUGAUAUAGCCCAGACAAAAGGCCUUACGGUGUAAUGGAUUUUCAAUUACUUCCGUCAUUUUGGAAUUUCGGUAAUUUAAGAGACUGGAAUUGUCUGAAACCUACAAUUUUAGGACAACCAUUCCUUUUACCGGCUUCUCAUUCACUUUUCUGUUCAAUUUUCAUGUAUUUUUUACAAUUUGUGUUUUAUUUUCUCACAAUUUAGGGAUUUAAUAAUUGGUUUGUCAUACAUUUCGUUGCGAGGGUUUCGAAAAAUGGUAUACAUGUAUUAUUUGCGGAGUUCAGCAACCCUCAAGCAAUAUUAUGCACCUGUUUCUCUGCCUUUAAAUCCUAUAUAUUAACAAUACAAAAUCCUUCAUAGACCACUGUUGGGAGGAAAUGAAGCGCGUACCAGGCACCUUCGGAGGAUUGUUCGCUGAUGGCUUCCAAGGACGGAAAUCAUUCCUCUGUAUAUUCUCUGGCGCAUAUAUUCAUCAAUGUAGGGGCCUGAUGUCAUGGUGGGAGCUGGGGCAACUGAAACAUGGUGAUCAAAAGAAAGAAGGUAGAAUCUUUGGGAAAAAGCAUGGUGGCAAUUAAAAUACAUUCUUGAUGAUAUUUACAACUAUGGCUGACAUGAACUUCUCAGUUACUAUGCUCAUAUUCCACAUUUCUGGCAUUGUUGGAUGUGAGACACUUUUGUGGAUUCUCCUUCCUGUAUUCUGGAAAUGGUAUGUCAUCAACCAGUUCCUUUGGGUAGUUACUUCAUUUUGUUUCUUCAACACCAUCCAUAGUACCGCUAAGCUCUAACUUCCUACAAAUUCAAGUGCUGCUAAGCCUCCAAAUUUGGAACUACAGGAAGCAUCUCAGCCAAUUCAGCAACCCUCAAGCAAUAUUAUGCACCGGUUUUUCUUGUAUCCCUGGGAUGAUUUAAUUUGUUUUGCUGGUCUCCUAGCAUCCAAUGUGUUAUGCAAUGUCUCUCUACAUUAGCUAUGCUCCCAAGCUUUUGACUCAUAUAGUUACCACAUUUGGGUUCAGUAUGAUGCAUCAAUGUAAAGAUUGCACCUAGGGACUAAAUAGAAAAGAUUGAGGGACUAAUUAAGAGUCUACUCUAAACCCAGCAACAACCUUGUGCAAUGUGUGUGACCCAAUUGUGUGCUGGAGUGCAUUUAUCAUCAGACGGUCACUCUGCUAACCCCCUGUGACUGAGUUGAGUAUGCAGAUCAUAUAUGCAGUUAUUUAUUCAUUUUGAUGAAUCUGGAAGUUUGCAUAAUUUCUGUUGUUUCAUUUUGGUUUUUAGUAAAUUUUCAUGGCAAAUUCUUUUGGCUCUAAACCUUUUUUUAAUCAACUUAUGGUUCAAGUCUUGGCAAAUACGAUGGUGAUGAGGCUGCAAUGGGAAUUCAGCUGGGUUUGUUCUUCUGUCAAGCAAAUGUAAUAUGUGCAUCAUUUUUGUAAACCUGCAUCUUAGUUUAUAAUUUCUAUAAAGAAUUUUAGUUUCAACGGUUUAUAACCAAUAUCUUAUUUCUUUAGAAUAAAUGAUGUGAUUUAUGGUAUAAUUGUAUACAAUGUUAUACAUACUGGUUUAUUAGGCUGUUUUUUAGAAUAAAAAUUAGUUACUUGGGUUGAGGGGUUCUUUGUUUGUGGUUGAUUGGUUGAGUUAGGAGGAGACUCGAAUGCCCUGCAGUCGAGGACACAAACAAUCAUGCAAUGAAGAG